rnacentral:lncRNA from 1 species
GAAUAUGAGUUUUUGUGGCCUUACCUCUGAAAUGUCUUUCCUCCUUCUGCUUUAGAUCCAAAAAUUAUUUAAUAAGGAAUUUGGAGAAGCGUGCAAUAUUGAGUUGCCUGGUAGGGCAGAGAGAGCAGCUUUUUUUGAGGACCUAAUUCUAAAUCAAGUGGCUAAGCCUCCUGUAAAGAAAACAGUUGAUCGGACAUUGGAAGUCCUGCUUGUAGCACCACCAGCUGAGCCUCAGAAGCCACAAGAGGAAGAAGUAGGGAUGCUGGAGGAGGAAGAGGAGGAUACCUUGCGUGAACUUAGAAUUUUCUUGAGGGACGUUACUCACAGACUUGCCACUGACAGACGUUUCAGGGAAUUUGCAAAGCCCGUUGACCCACAGAAGGUACCUGACUAUGCCACAAGGAUUAAAGAGCCGAUGGAUCUUUCAACAGUUCUGACUCAAAUUGACUCGCGCCAGUACCUCACUGCAGGAGACUAUCUGAAGGACAUCGAUCUAAUCUGUAACAAUGCCUUAGAGUACUACCCAGAUCAAAGGUCUACAAGUGAGGAUGUGCUUUUUAGCCCUAGUUUAAAAAAUCUGUCAAACGUAUAGAUGGAUAAAUGCUGUGUGCGGACAACAGACUUUGGAUGGAUUAGAUGAUUUUGGACAUCCACAGAGAACAUCUCUUACCACAUUAUUGUCACAGAGCCUAUGUUUUGCAAGACACUGCAUAUUCAAUGGUGAGGAACAAAAUGGAUACAGAGUUUGGACGACUUUGUGAACAAAUUAAAGAAUCUCGUGAGAAAAGAGGUCGCACCUCUCCAGCAUGUGCUCCAUGCGACAACUCCAAGUCACCACAGCAGAACCCUGCUACUGAAGACGACAAACCAGAUGAAGAGAGUAAUGAAAAUGAAGAGAUGACAGCGGCACCUGUAGAUGCCAGUACACCCAUUUCUAAUGGUGCGUCAGAAAGAAAGCGCAGAAGGAACAACUGUGCGCAUGCUGCAGCAAAGAGAAGAAGGAGUUCUCAAUUCGAUACAGAGAACAGAGUACCAACAGAUGACCAAAACGAUAGCGAU